AGGGCUUUAAAUAAGUAUCCUCAUCGGAUGUCGCGUAAAGGAUAUGCUGGAUUGGAGGAAGAAUUGUCUGCAACAAUGGAAGAAUCUUCUCUUGAUCGUGCAACGAUGUGGAUCAAAGCACGUCAAGAUAAGAAUGGUAGUUUUAAAUAUCCUUCAAUAGAGGAGAAGGCACAAAAAAUUGCUGAUUUGAAGAAAAAAGAGGCUAAGGGAGAGUUAAGCACUUGUGGUGUAGUUG